ACCCAGACUCCUACGGGAGGCAGCAGUGGGGGAUAUUGCACAAUGGGGGAAACCCUGAUGCAGCGACGCCGCGUGGGUGACGAAGUAUUUCGGUAUGUAAAGCCCUAUCAGCAGGGAAGAAGAUGACAGUACCUGACUAAGAAGCCCCGGCUAACUACGUGCCAGCAGCCGCGGUAAUACGUAGGGGGCAAGCGUUAUCCGGAUUUACUGGGUGUAAAGGGAGCGCAGGUGGCAUGGCAAGCCAGAAGUGAAAACCCGGGGCUUAACCCCGCGGAUUGCUUUUGGAACUGUCAGGCUGGAGUGCAGGAGGGGCAGGCGGAAUUCCUGGUGUAGCGGUGAAAUGCGUAGAUAUCGCGCAGAACUCCGAUUGCGAAGGCAGCAUGCCGGCUCCACACUGACGCUGAGGCACGAGAGCGUGGGUAUCGAACAGGAUUAGAUACCCCGGUA
rnacentral:rRNA from 1 species